UGGGGAAUAUUGCGCAAUGGGCGAAAGCCUGACGCAGCGACGCCGCGUGAGGGAUGAAGGUUUUCGGAUCGUAAACCUCUGUCAGAAGGGAAGAAACCGCGCUGUGCUAAUCAGCAGUGCCUUGACGGUACCUUCAAAGGAAGCACCGGCUAACUCCGUGCCAGCAGCCGCGGUAAUACGGAGGGUGCAAGCGUUAAUCGGAAUUACUGGGCGUAAAGCGCACGUAGGCUGCUUUGUAAGUCAGGGGUGAAAUCCCACGGCUCAACCGUGGAACUGCCUUUGAUACUGCUUAGCUUGAAUCCGGGAGAGGGUGGCGGAAUUCCAGGUGUAGGAGUGAAAUCCGUAGAUAUCUGGAGGAACAUCAGUGGCGAAGGCGGCCACCUGGACCGGUAUUGACGCUGAGGUGCGAAAGCGUGGGGAGCAAACAGG
rnacentral:rRNA from 1 species